rnacentral:rRNA from 1 species
AUUGAACGCUGGCGGCAUGCUUUACACAUGCAAGUCGAACGGUAACAGGGAGCUUGCUCCGCUGACGAGUGGCGAACGGGUGAGUAAUGCGUCGGAACGUGCCGAGUAGUGGGGGAUAACGCAGCGAAAGUUGUGCUAAUACCGCAUACGUACUGAGAUAGAAAGUGGGGGACCUUCGGGCCUCACGCUAUUCGAGCGGCCGACGUCUGAUUAGCUAGUAGGUGAGGUAAAGGCUCACCUAGGCGACGAUCAGUAGCGGGUCUGAGAGGAUGAUCCGCCACACUGGGACUGAGACACGGCCCAGACUCCUACGGGAGGCAGCAGUGGGGAAUUUUGGACAAUGGGCGAAAGCCUGAUCCAGCCAUGCCGCGUGUCUGAAGAAGGCCCUCGGGUUGUAAAGGACUUUUGUCGGGGAGGAAAUCCCCAGCGCUAAUACCGCUGGGGGAUGACAGUACCUGAAGAAUAAGCACCGGCUAACUACGUGCCAGCCGCCGCGGUAACAC